AACGAACGCUGGCGGCAUGCCUAACACAUGCAAGUCGACGCGACCUUCGGGUCUAGUGGCGCACGGGUGCGUAACGCGUGGGAACCUGCCCUUAGGUUCGGAAUAACUCCCCGAAAGGGGUGCUAAUACCGGAUAAUGUCUUCGGACCAAAGAUUUAUCGCCUUUGGAUGGGCCCGCGUUGGAUUAGCUAGUUGGUAGGGUAAAAGCCUACCAAGGCGACGAUCCAUAGCUGGUCUGAGAGGAUGAUCAGCCACACUGGGACUGAGACACGGCCCAGACUCCUACGGGAGGCAGCAGUGGGGAAUAUUGGACAAUGGGCGAAAGCCUGAUCCAGCAAUGCCGCGUGAGUGAUGAAGGCCUUAGGGUUGUAAAGCUCUUUUACCCGGGAUGAUAAUGACAGUACCGGGAGAAUAAGCUCCGGCUAACUCCGUG
rnacentral:rRNA from 1 species